CGAAAGGAACGCUAAUACCGCAUACGUCCUACGGGAGAAAGCAGGGGACCUUCGGGCCUUGCGCUAUCAGAUGAGCCUAGGUCGGAUUAGCUAGUUGGUGGGGUAAUGGCUCACCAAGGCGACGAUCCGUAACUGGUCUGAGAGGAUGAUCAGUCACACUGGAACUGAGACACGGUCCAGACUCCUACGGGAGGCAGCAGUGGGGAAUAUUGGACAAUGGGCGAAAGCCUGAUCCAGCCAUGCCGCGUGUGUGAAGAAGGUCUUCGGAUUGUAAAGCACUUUAAGUUGGGAGGAAGGGCAGUAAGCUAAUACCUUGCUGUUUUGACGUUACCGACAGAAUAAGCACCGGCUAACUCUGUGUCAGCAGCCGCGGUAAUACAGAGGGUGCAAGCGUUAAUCGGAAUUACUGGGCGUAAAGCGCGCGUA
rnacentral:rRNA from 1 species